UACGUAGGGUGCGAGCGUUGUCCGGAAUUAUUGGGCGUAAAGAGCUCGUAGGCGGUUUGUCGCGUCGGCCGUGAAAUCUCCACGCUUAACGUGGAGCGUGCGGUCGAUACGGGCAGACUUGAGUUCGGUAGGGGAGACUGGAAUUCCUGGUGUAGCGGUGAAAUGCGCAGAUAUCAGGAGGAACACCGGUGGCGAAGGCGGGUCUCUGGGCCGAUACUGACGCUGGAGGAAGCGAAAGCGUGGGGAGCAAACAGG
rnacentral:rRNA from 1 species